GACGUGGUGGCAGAGUGGUCUAAUGCGCAAGACUAGGAAUCUCCUAGAACAUCUUGUUUCUUCGGGAGCGUCGGUUUGAAUACGGCCUACGUUG